rnacentral:rRNA from 1 species
GAUGAACGCUGGCGGCGUGCCUAAUACAUGCAAGUCGAGCGAACAGACGAGGAGCUUGCUCCUCUGACGUUAGCGGCGGACGGGUGAGUAACACGUGGAUAACCUACCUAUAAGACUGGGAUAACUUCGGGAAACCGGAGCUAAUACCGGAUAAUAUAUUGAACCGCAUGGUUCAAUAGUGAAAGACGGUUUUGCUGUCACUUAUAGAUGGAUCCGCGCGGCAUUAGCUAGUUGGUAAGGUAACGGCUUACCAAGGCAACGAUGCGUAGCCGACCUGAGAGGGUGAUCGGCCACACUGGAACUGAGACACGGUCCAGACUCCUACGGGAGGCAGCAGUAGGGAAUCUUCCGCAAUGGGCGAAAGCAUGACGGAGCAACGCCGCGUGAGUGAUGAAGGUCUUCGGAUCGUAAAACUCUGUUAUGAGGGAAGAACAAAUGUGUAAGUAACUAUGCACGUCUUGACGGUACCUAAUCAGAAAGCCACGGCUAACUACGUG